AUUGAACGCUGGCGGCAGGCUUAACACAUGCAAGUCGAACGAGUGGCGGACGGGUGAGUAAUGCUUGGGAAUCUAGCUUAUGGAGGGGGAUAACUACGGGAAACUGUAGCUAAUACCGCGUACCAUAGGAUGAGCCCAAGUGGGAUUAGGUAGUUGGUGGGGUAAAGGCUCACCAAGCCGACGAUCCCUAGCUGGUCUGAGAGGAUGACCAGCCAACCUGGGACGUAGGCACGGCCCAGACUCCUACGGGAGGCAGCAGUGGGGAAUUGUGCGCAAUGGGGGCAACCUGACGGAGCCAUGCCGCGUGAAUGAAGAAGGCCUUCGGGUUGUAAAGUUCUUUCGGUAGCGAGGCGUUAACUACAGAAGAAGCACCGGCUAACUCCGUGCCAGCAGCCGCGGUAAUUC
rnacentral:rRNA from 1 species